rnacentral:lncRNA from 1 species
ACUGUUUUCUCUGUUUUCUCCCCCGCCCCCCCCAAAUACCUCAUAGCCUCCUGCAGCCAGAGCAGCCAUUUGAAAAUGCAAAUCUAUUCACACCUGUGUUACAUGACGGAGGUAAUUAUGAGGUACUUGCGUGACCCCAGCAAUCCCCGGUGCCGCCCACAUCAUUGCAAGUGCGGGUAACUCCUGAAAUGACUCUAAUUGGACUUUAUCCACAUAUAGUGAACAAAAUAAACAGAUUUUUUAUACUAUAUCUUGGUGUUGGUAACAGAGUUGUGCAAAUCCUUCCAAGGAACGCGUUUCCAAAAUGCAGUCUUUAAUCUACAUACUCCACCUCCCGGCGUGACGUCAUGCAUAGGCCUGGCUGGUCAGAGAGCGCAACUGCGUUCUCAUCUCGGCCCGCUUCCAACCAGCAGUUCCUUCUCCUGCUCGCGUCAAUGCAAGUGACGUCUGUCAGGCCAUUUUCCUGACAAAAACGCACCACCUCACUACUUUUGGCGUAGCCUAAGGCCUUCGGAUCUCCCUGUAUGGAGAGUUUCCUUGAGCUAACAGACGUGAAUGAACUUUUAGUCACGGGAUACCCACGCUGUGAACCACCCCGGCAUCAUUUCCUCUUAUUCCAAGAAGGGGAACAGGGCAUGCUAGCAGGCUGUACUGCAGAGUGGAGGGUUUUGGAAUCCAAGAUCUGGACUGCAAUAUAGCGUUCACAAUGCAAGACUUUCGAUGAGCUUAUGGCCUCAACUUGUUCCUCAGUUUGUAAAACCUGCAUUACUGUCCUUGGAGGAGUUUUUGUGAAGACUAAAACAAAUACAUUAACGAACAGCUUAAACCUUAAAGCAUAAUUAUAACAUGUGAGUCAGGCAACCCAAUAAAAACCCUAAAGCAAACCAAGAAAUACUAACAGCUAACAUCUACUGUUUACCAUGCAUCUGGACUUUAUGGUUAAUCCUCACAACGUUGAGGUAGGAAAUGGAAUCAUCCCCAUUUCAUGGAUAAAGAACCUGAGGCAUGACAAAGAUUCUUUGCUGGCCGGGUGCAGUGGCUCACGCCUGUAAUCCCA